rnacentral:lncRNA from 1 species
UUUCCCAGAAAGCACUGCCAGUGACGACGCCUCAUUCUCAGUCCCUGGACCGCUCUCAGUCGGUUGCCAUGGAAAUUGUCACUAACGAGGAAUGGGGGAGGGCCGGAAAUGUCGGAGCAGGGGCCCGGGCCACCCGAGGGGGACUUCCGCUUCCUCGUUGUCCUCUUUUCCUCGCCUGCUCUGCCUCUGAGGACCCUGCUCUUCCCCAAGAGGGAAGCAUUCAGGAGAGAAUGGUCCCUGUGAUCCCAACAGCCAGGUGCCAGCACCUAGCACAAUGACUUUUAGAUCCUGCCUUUGACUAGUGUACAAUCUUAGGCAGAUUCCUUAGCCUUCUGAGGCUUAGUUCUGUCAUUUUGGAAAUGGGAGAGGCCUGGAAAGUAAUAAUGGAGACCAAGGAAGAGGAGAAGUUGUUGAAGCCAGACCUCAGUUCUUUGAAAGGCAUUAGUGCGGUGUCAGGCAUGUGGUAUGGUCUUAAAAUACAUGGGAUACUUGGGAAACUAGAGGCAAUGAAGCA